rnacentral:lncRNA from 13 species
CUCCAAGUUUAUGACAAAGAAAAUAAAAUGAGUUCAGAAAACCCUUUUCCUUAUUUUGCACUGACUUGAUCUCUCUUGAUGAUUUCUUGCAUCCUUAAGUCUGGUGAGAAGAAGAUUGGUUCCCUGCAAGUAUUGGGGUUCCCUCCUCCGUAAAGAGUCCUGCAAACUGAAAUGCUGAGUUCAUCCUAGAUUGCUACUGUGCCUUUUACAUUUCAACUGAUGCAAUUGCAGAUGAUAGUUGCAAGUAGCGAAGAUACAGAGAUGUGGUGGCAGCUCAUUCUCCUCUCCUCUCCCCCAGUUUCCCCACCAUGGCCAGCACCUGCCUUUGCAUUUGCCGCUGCUGGCCAGCAUGCCAGCCUCCUGUCAGCCUGAGUCGUCUGUGCCUCCCUUCCAAGCCAUGAAUCAUCAGAGGUGCUGUGGCUUCUCCAGCUUUGCAUUCCUGGCAGAGGUGUUGUUUCUUCCUAAAAGUGGAGGGGAAGGAGUUGCUAAGGAACACCAUUAACAUGCUGACAGCACAACAAUCUCGGAGAGUUUUGGCCUCAGCCGUUUGACUCUAAUCAGGAAAUCAUUUUUAGAAAGAUUUGUCAGUGUAAGAAAACAAGCUCCUGAACUAAAUUAGGAUCUGGAUUAUUUUCCCCUCCUCUCUCAAUCUGCAGUGCAAGUCAGACUGGUGAGCCAUCACGGUUUUGUGUGUGGUGAAUUUGUUUCUACCGCACAUUUUAAUUCGGAGCUCCUGAAGGUGUCUGUGUUUAUAAGGACUGUGUUUUUGGAGCUGCUCCCUUGGAGUAAUGAAUUCACUGCAUGUCUCUGGGAAAUUAAGCGUGAACAGCUGGGCACAGGCUGGUGUCCCAGAGAAGAGAGGAGGAAGGAAAAGCAGCCCUGCAGCCUGUGGAACUGUGAACUGCCCUGCAGUCCAGCCCGUUACCUUCGAGGCUACCCUCAGAUUCCCUCUGAGUGUGAGUUUCCCUGGUGGGGAGCCUAGACCAAGCACAGGAGGCCGCCAUGUGAGGACACAAUGAGAAGGUGGCCAUCUGCAAACCCAGAAGCAGGACCUCCAAAGACACUGGACCUGCCAGCACCCUGAUCUUGGAUUUCUUGGCUCUAAAACUAUAACAAAUAAAUAUGUGUUGUUUAAGUCA